rnacentral:misc_RNA from 1 species
GAUCAAAACAGAGGAAGGGAACUGAAGAAAUACAGCAAAGGCUGGGUGGUGUAUUCUAGAAGGGUGAAGAAAGUUCCAAAAGGGAACUCGUUUGCAGCAAAUAAAAAUCCACAGCUAAGCAAGGAGGGAAAUUCUGUUGAAAGGAUUGCUGAGGGAGAAUGUACGUGGAUGAAAGCCCAUGAGGCAGAGAAACUACAAGAAGGGAAUUUAGUU